rnacentral:rRNA from 1 species
GCAGCCCGGGGGAUCCGCCCACCCGCUGAAUUUAAGCAUAUCGCUAAGCGGAGGAAAAGAAACCAACCGGGAUUCCCUUAGUAACGGCGAGUGAACCGGGAGAAGCCCAACGCCGAAUCCCGUCGCAAGUAAAAGGCUUCGGGACGUGUGGCGCAUGGGUCGAAGGCAGCCGUUCGUUUUCGUCUCGCGUAGUUCGGAGUUCCCUCGAUCGGGGCCGCCCGCGGUGCCAGGCCAUUCGGUGCGGACUGGCAAGCACGGCCUUGCAUCCAGAGUCGGGUUCUUGGGACGCACCCAAAUCGGGUGGAGUAUAGGCUAAUAUCGGACAGUCGUAUCACAUCUAGAAAUAAACUUAAAAUCAAAACUAACACGUAACU